rnacentral:lncRNA from 1 species
GAUGUGAAGAUGUUUUAGACAUUUGGAACAUUAGAAACUGCAGAAAUUACAAGAUUGUCCAGCACUUGCAGACGAAUGAUGGCACCCAUAGGCGGUGUGCAGAAUCUAUGAGUCAGCCAUGUCAUCUCAAAGUCAAGGUCACAAAUCAAGAAACUCACCAGAAGCCAAGAUCAUGGUCUAAAGACAACUCCCACAAGACUUCUGUCAAUAGAGGAAGCUGGAGUGAUGGCACUACGGCACUGGUAGCUAGACUGGUGCAUGGAUGUCGAUGUUAGACCAGUCACCUGGCCCAAUACCAUAUUAUUUUAGAUCUCCCUGAAUACAUCUGAUGAGUGCAAGCCAAUCACGGGAGGUACAGCACUGGUAACAUGCCAAGGGUGCAGGUUCACAUCAGACACAUUCCCUUUCACAAUGUGGGCUUGAAAGUCCUUUCAUAUACAGUCAAGAUCCCAGCAGGCUAGAAAUUUGUAUAGAC